GGGCUUGUACUGGUUUCGACGGGGGUUUAGAAGUUGGAGUAGCCAUCCGCAGUGCGGAACUGCGUUGUCAUCCGCAAACUUUAAAAUUAAACGCAGAAGAUAAUUUAGCGUACGCUGCCUAAUUGCGGCAGCAGUCGGCCUUAAGUCACUCACCGCUUAAGUAACCGGCUUCAUCCAGGUGGGGCACUCUGUUGCCAAAGCUUUGCGGCGGCAGAAGAUUUUAUGAAGCUACUGAAGUGAACAGCCUGUCGCUGGGCGGUUUAUGGAGGGAAUGAAAGUAUAGCGACUGUGAUUGGAAGAAGCUGCAAUGGAAGAGCUUUCGGACAGGGGUUCGAUUCCCCUCAGGUCCA
rnacentral:tmRNA from 1 species